rnacentral:siRNA from 1 species
UGACGAGCUAGUGACUUGGUCAG